rnacentral:rRNA from 1 species
UACGUAGGGUCCGAGCGUUGUCCGGAAUUACUGGGCGUAAAGAGCUCGUAGGUGGUUUGUCACGUUGUUCGUGAAAACCCACAGCUCAACUGUGGGCGUGCGAGCGAUACGGGCAGACUAGAGUACUGCAGGGGAGACUGGAAGUUCCUGGUGUAGCGGUGGAAUGCGCAGAUAUCAGGAGGAACACCGGUGGCGAAGGCGGGUCUCUGGGCAGUAACUGACGCUGAGGAGCGAAAGCGUGGGGGAGCGAACAGG